rnacentral:lncRNA from 1 species
AUGAGGCAGACGCCUCUGGAGUGCUGGGGAGAUCCAGGGAGACGCUCUCCGGGAAGUCCCGAAGGCAGCUUGAGAACGCUGGCUAUUCCGCAGACGGUGGUCAUUACUUCAGCAAGCGUCCACAGAAGCCACAAUUUUCCCGGGGAGGAGGUCAAACAGGCCACUCUCUCCACCUUUGAAUGCUGUUGCUUCCAAAGACUCUAUCUCUUGUCUCUGCUCAGCCCCUGUACUCCAGCUUCUCUGCCAGGCUUCAGAGAUCCUAAAGAAGGAGGAUAUCUUUAA